UGGAGGAGCAAGGGGGGGGGGGGAGCAGGGAGGAGGGGAAACACUAUGGGUACAGAGGAAAGGGAGCUGGGUCCUAGCAAGAUCCCAUUUAUUCAGUCACUCAACAGUGGAGGUGGACACCAUGCCAGGGGUACAGAGGAAUCACAAAAGAGAUACCUUAGAGGACUUGCAGUAGGGGUGUGAAGGGGAGUGUGAAGACACAAACGGAACCAAGGGUACAGCGGGAAAAGGCACCAAGAGAAGGAGAUAUGUGAGCUAACAGCCUGUAAAGAUGUCAAUUAGACCCAGCGAGAACAAUUUUUGAAAGGUACAGAGUCUAGUUAGCAUGAACCCUGUCUGAGGACCUCACUCGUGUGGCUGGAGUAGUCAACAGGAAUUACAUUUCACCCGGGCUAUAAUGAGAAGCCACUGAAAAUUUAUGGCCAGGGAAGUGACAGAUCUGCUUUUACAAAGAUAUUCUAACAGGAAAGAGACAGGACUGGAAGGUGGCCAACCAGUUAGAAGCUGUAGCAGGAAUCCAGAUGAAAGAGAAUGGUGGUUUGGACCAAGGAAACUACCGAGAGGGAAGCAGAUGGACUCAAAAGGAAUACAGGAGGAAAACGCAACAGAAUUUCACAGCUGAGUGGAAAAGGCCUCUGGGGACACAGAAUGGAUCAAAGCCAAGAAGCUACCACAGAGAGCUCAAGUUCUGUGCCUCAGGCUUGAUAUUCAGUUCAGCCCUGCUCUUUCCUUCAUGGCCACCCAGGGAUAGGUCUUCCAGACCCAUCCUCCCACGGCACAUCACCUUCAUGACUGUGUAGCAAGACCUUACCUGGUCCGUCAGCACUCUGCACUGGUCCUAUGCAAAGCCAAAAUUGUCAGGAGAAAGAAAGUACCACAGGGUAAGGAAAGGAAGUGAGGGGGACUAAAAUGAACAGCUGCAUCAGCAGUGAGGUAGUCCAGCAGCCGUUUCUCAUCCUGGCAGCUUCAACUCAGGCUCAACAGUGGGGAGGGUCUGGAAAGCCUCAUUCUUCCCAUCCUUUCUCACACCCCCUAUCAGAAAUGGCCAACUCCUAUUUAUCUUUUAGAGUUCCAAAAUUUCCAGGUCAUUUCUUCAGAGUUCCACUUUAUUUAAAUCAGCACAUACAUGUAAAGUUGGGGCCCUACAGUAUCUAUUUUAUAGCUGUCUUUAUAACAACUGCCACUUUGCAGCUGUAUAUCUGUGGCCCGCCCUUUCCAAGGAUGCAAGCCCUGUUUGGAGUUGGUGCUGCAUCAGUUUUGUCUGCUGCUGCAUUUUCAGUUGUAUAUAGCUUCUGGUAUCUAGGAUGUAUCCAACCGACCAAAGAAUCUUCCAGUUCAAUCUCAGGCCUAAACUCGAUGGACAGAUCAAUUUGGAAGCCACACAGCAACCUCAAAACUCAAGAGGGAUAAAAGUGAACUCAUCAACUUAACACUGGGCCUGAUUCUUAAUGGGAACACCAUUGACCCAGCCCACCAAGUCCUCAUUCUCCAUCCUGUCCCCUUCUCCCAUGACAUUCGAUACUCAGUUAAAAACUGCUACAUUAUUUCCUUCACAGCACUAGCAUUUGCUGGACUCUCAUUUUGGCCCCUACAUCUCUCUCCUAUACCAGGGUAACAUUAAGUAGAUCUCUGACUUCAAAGAUCUCAACAGAAAAUGACAACAACAAAAAAGAUAAAACAUCAUAAAAAUGACAAACCAACCCAGAAAAGAAGUGUGAAAAUUACAUAGCAAAGGGCUGAGGGAAGACAGAAGAAUGUGACCGGCGUGCUGCCUGCAGGGAAGGAGGAUGUUCCCAGAGAGAGCUAACACAUUUCUGGACUAAGACAAUGACACAAUGCUGGAUAUUUACAAAUUAAAUUAUUCAUUCAAAAAUCA